UACAGAGGUCUCAAGCGUUGUUCGGAUUCAUUGGGCGUAAAGAGCUCGUAGGCGGCUUGUCGCGUCGGCUGUGAAAACCUGCGGCUCAACUGCAGGCUGGCGGUCGAUACGGGCAGGCUGGAGUUCGGUAGGGGAGACUGGAAUUCCUGAUGUAGCGGUGAAAUGCGCAGAUAUCAGGAGGAACACCGGUGGCGAAGGCGGGUCUCUGGGCCGAUACUGACGCUGAGGAGCGAAAGCGUGGGGAGCGAACAGG
rnacentral:rRNA from 1 species